AUUGAACGCUGGCGGCAUGCCUAACACAUGCAAGUCGAACGGAAACGAUGCUAGCUUGCUAGCAGGCGUCGAGUGGCGGACGGGUGAGUAAUGUAUAGGGAUCUGCCUAGUAGUGGGGGACAACAUGUGGAAACGCAUGCUAAUACCGCAUACGCUCUACGGAGGAAAGUGGGGGACCUUUCGGGGCCUCAUGCUACUAGAUGAACCUAUAUUGGAUUAGCUUGUUGGUAAGGUAAUGGCUUACCAAGGCGACGAUCCAUAGCUGGUUUGAGAGAAUGAUCAGCCACACUGGGACUGAGACACGGCCCAGACUCCUACGGGAGGCAGCAGUGGGGAAUAUUGCACAAUGGACGAAAGUCUGAUGCAGCAAUGCCGCGUGUGUGAAGAAGGCCUUAGGGUUGUAAAGCGCUUUCAGACGUGAGGAAAAGUAAUAAUUUAAUAAAUUAUUACCUUGACGUUAACGUCAGAAGAAGGACCGGCUAACUCCGUGCCAGCAGCCGCGGUAAUACGGAGGGUCCAAGCGUUAAUCGGAAUUACUGGGCGUAAAGCGCGCGUAGGCGGAUAUUUAAGUCAGAUGUGAAAUCCCUGGGCUCAACCUAGGAACUGCAUUUGAUACUGGAUAUCUAGAGUAUGGUAGAGGUGAGUGGAAUUUCAGGUGUAGCGGUGAAAUGCGUAGAGAUCUGAAGGAACAUCAGUGGCGAAGGCGACUCACUGGGCCAUUACUGACGCUGAGGUGCGAAAGCGUGGGUAGCAAACAGGAUUAGAUACCCUGGUAGUCCACGCCCUAAACGAUGUCAACUAGGUGUAUGGGAGUUUAACUCCUGUGUAUCGAAGCUAACGCGAUAAGUUGA
rnacentral:rRNA from 1 species